AACGAACGCUGGCGGCAUGCCUAACACAUGCAAGUCGAACGAGACCUUCGGGCCUAUGUGCGCACGUGUGCGGAACGCGGGGUAAGCUGCCCGUAGGUUCGGUAUAACUCCCCGAAAGGGGUCCUAAUACCGCAGGAUCUCUUCGGACCAAAGAUUUAUCGCUUUUGGAUGGGGGCUCGUUGGAUUAGUCAGUUGGUAGGGUAAAAGCAUACCAAGGCGACGAUCCAUAGCUGGUCGGAGAGGAUGCCCAGGCGCGCUGGGACUGAGGCCCGGCCCAGCCUCGUACGGGAGGCAGGAGUAGGGAAUAUUAGACAAUGAGCGAAAGCCUGAUAAAGCCAUGCCGCGUGAGUGAUGAAGGCCUUAGGAUUGUAAAGCUCUUUUACCCGGGAUGAUAAUGACAGUACCGGGAGAAUAAGCACCGGCUAACUACGUG
rnacentral:rRNA from 1 species